rnacentral:lncRNA from 1 species
UAUAGAGACUCGGACCGUGGCCACGACCAUAAUCAGGGCUCCCCCUCUCCUUCCUAUAAGGGCUACGACUAGAGCCACGACCAUAAUCGGGGCUACCCCUCUCUCUUCGGAAGGGACUUGGAGAUCGUCUCCUGUCACGACCUCUCUCAGGUGACCUAUCACGACCUCUCUCAGGGCUACAUCCAUUUCGACGAUCAUCAUCAUCUCGUACUGCAUAUUCAACUG